CUUACUUUUACUUUUUCAUCUAUGGUCGAACCACCCAGAGCAGGGGUCCUCAACUCCCAGGCUACAGACUCAUACCAGUCCAUGGACUAUUAUGAACCACACCACGCAGGAGGAGGUAAGCAGCAGGCAAGCCAGGGAAGCUUCACCUGUACUUACAGCCACACCCCAUGGCUCAUAUUACCUCCUGAACUCUGCCUCCAGUCAGAUCAGUGAUAACAUUAGAUACUCAUUGGAGCAUGAACCCUGUUGUGAACUGCCCAUCCGAAGGAUCUAGGUUGUGUGCUUUGUAUGAGAAUCUAAUGCCUGAUGAUCUGUCAUUGUCUCACUUUGCCCCCAGAUGAGACCAUCUAGUUGCAGAAAAAUAAGCUCAGAGCUUCCACGGAUUCUACAUUAUG
rnacentral:antisense_RNA from 1 species